CUUUACCACUUUUGGUAAAAAAAAAAAAAAAAAAGAAAGAAAGAAAAGAAAAGAAAAGAAAAGAAAAGAAAAGAAAAGAAAAGAAAAGAAAAAAGACUUCCAUCCAUUGAAGUUAUGUUUUCUUGUAGACUUACACAAAUGCCUAAGAAACCGAAUCUCCUUUGAGGAUGGACGUGGUUGCAGCACAAUAGUCAGCACACAGAAAGCCUCGAUUAGGUUUGUUUGCAUGGUUUCGAAGGUUCCAGGCAAUGAACAACCAAUGAAAGAAAAAUAAAACUCUGAUCACGUGGAUCUUUGUGAGAGUUAAUUGCCUCUUGGUGUGUGCACAGAACCAACGGUAAAUUCCUCUCUCCGGCUCAUCCUCCUUUUCCUAAUCUUGGGUCAUUUUUUAUGACUUGAUCUGAAUCAUAUGCACUGCUUGGGUUCAAGGCAAUUGCCCAACAUCCCCCCAGAGUCCAGAGGCACAGAUGGGUCCCAGGAAGUGGGAAAUGCUCCAGCCGUACCCAGAUCAACUUCUGCUUACAAACAGAGAGCAAAAGCUCCCCGGCAGGCCCGUGAUGGCUGGAGCCCCCGUCCCCCUGACCCCUUCCUUAGCCGACGGAGCUGCUGAAGACGUGCUGCUGGCCACGCUGAAGCCAACUCAAAGGCCUUGCAAGAGCAAGAAGUUCCAUGGCAUCUUCCCUGUGGACACAACAUCACCAAGCUCAGGCCAGAGGAUGCCCACUGACCUGCCAUGAUGGUUCAAACACCUGCCACCAUUGGGGGACCAGCUGCUUCCUUUCAGGUGAGAAAUGAAUCUGCCGCGUGCAAGGUGCCCUCUUGUCCUCGGAGAGAGGGAGACAUCCUUAUCACCACAGAUGGGACAUGCGGAGCCCAGAGGGCUGGAUAAACAGAGCUCUUUACUCCUUAGGAAUUUACUACCCCCACCCCCGCUCACAUUCUGUUUAGAAUUCCUGACUAACUGGGGCUCCCAAAGUGACAUUCUCUGUCUUGUCCAUAACUCACGAGAUUUAUUAUCUCUUUGAAAAGCAUCAACACUGCCCACCUUGCUUAGUUCUUUACGUCUUAAUCUCAUUGUUGGACCUCCAUGCUCACGGAAUAAAACUUUGGGUUUUGUUUUGUU